rnacentral:rRNA from 1 species
GGAUUAGAUACCCUGGUAGUCCACGCCGUAAACGAUGGUCACUAGCUGUUCGGACUUCGGUCUGAGUGGCUAAGCGAAAGUGAUAAGUGACCCACCUGGGGAGUACGUUCGCAAGAAUGAAACUCAAAGGAAUUGACGGGGGCCCGCACAAGCGGUGGAGCAUGUGGUUUAAUUCGAUGAUACGCGAGGAACCUUACCAGGGCUUAAAUGUAAGUUGCAUGGGGUAGAGAUACCUCUUUCUUCGGACUACUUACAAGGUGCUGCAUGGUUGUCGUCAGCUCGUGCCG